rnacentral:rRNA from 1 species
CAGCCGCCGCGGUAAUACCGGCGGCCCGAGUGGCGGUCACUAUUAUUGGGCUUAAAACGUCCGUAGCCGGGUUGGGAAGUCCUCCGGGAAAUCUGGCCGCUUAACGGUCAGAAUGCCGGAGGAUACUCCCAGCCUAGGGAGCGGGAGAGGCCGAGGGUAUUCCCGGAGUAGGGGUGAAAUCCUAUAAUCCCGGGAGGACCACCGGUGGCGAAGGCGCUCGGCUGGAACGCGUCCGACGGUGAGGGACGAAGGCCAGGGGAGCAAACCGGAUUAGAUACCCGGGUAGUCCUGGCUGUAAACGAUGCGGACUUUGUGUCGGACAAGCUAUGAGCUUGUCCGGUGCCGGAGGGAAACCGUUAAGUCCGCCGCCUGGGGAGUACGGCCGCAAGGCUGAAACUUAAAGGAAUUGGCGGG